AACGAACGCUGGCGGCAUGCCUAACACAUGCAAGUCGAACGAGACCUUCGGGUCUAGUGGCGCACGGGUGCGUAACGCGUGGGAACCUGCCUUUAGGUUCGGAAUACCUCAGAGAAAUUUGAGCUAAUACCGGAUGAUGUCUUCGGACCAAAGAUUUAUCGCCUUUAGAUGGGCCCGCGUUGGAUUAGCUGGUUGGUGGGGUAAAGGCCUACCAAGGCGACGAUCCAUAGCUGGUCUGAGAGGAUGAUCAGCCACACUGGGACUGAGACACGGCCCAGACUCCUACGGGAGGCAGCAGUAGGGAAUAUUGGACAAUGGGCGAAAGCCUGAUCCAGCAAUGCCGCGUGAGUGAUGAAGGCCUUAGGGUUGUAAAGCUCUUUUACCCGAGAUGAUAAUGACAGUAUCGGGAGAAUAAGCUCCGGCUAACUCCGUG
rnacentral:rRNA from 1 species